rnacentral:rRNA from 1 species
AACAAGGUUUCCGUAGGUGAACCUGCGGAAGGAUCAUUAUUGAAUAAACUUGAUGGGUUGUGGCUGGCUUCUAGGAGCAUGUGCACGCCUGUCAUCUUUAUCCAUCCACCUGUGCACCUUUUGUAGUCUUUGGAGCUAAUGAGCGUUGAAGCCGUUGGGGAUCGCUCGAUUUGGCUGAUCGCAAAUUUCUCYAAGACUAUGUAUUUCAUAUACCACUUAGAAUGUAUUAGAACGUUUUUAUUGGGCCUCUGUGCCUAUAAAACAAUAUACAACUUUCAGCAACGGAUCUCUUGGCUCUCGCAUCGAUGAAGAACGCAGCGAAAUGCGAUAAGUAAUGUGAAUUGCAGAAUUCAGUGAAUCAUCGAAUCUUUGAACGCACCUUGCGCUCCUUGGAAUUCCGAGGAGCAUGCCUGUUUGAGUGUCAUUUAAUUCUCAAUCUCCGUCAGCUUUGUGGCUGGACGUGUGGAUUGGAUGUGGGGGUCAUUUUGCGGGCCUCUGAAAGGAGGUCGGCUCCCCUGAAAAGCAUUAGCUGGAACCGUUUGCGGGACUGUCACUGGUGUGAUAACUAUCUACGCCAAAGACAACCGCUCUCUGAUAAGUUCUGCUCCUAAUCRUCCUUUUAGUGGAGACGAACGAUAUCUGAAUGCUUGACCUCAAAUC